UUGCACAGUGAACACCCAAGUGUGCUUUCUAGUUCCCUUGACUUUGACUCUGUGCUAGAGCAAUGUCCGUUCUGUGCCUCUGCACUGAAGAGACUAUUUAUCCUUUUAAAACUAUUCAGAAAGUCAGAACAUUA